AGAGGGUUACCCUGGAGGUGCAAGUGUGGAAAUGAUUGGAUUCAGAUAUAUUAUCUUGAAUUAAUUUAUCUAAGUUCGAUUAUUUAUCUUUCCAUGCAAUCCUAUUAGCAUACAUGAAGACAGUUAUAUUCACAGUAUGGAAAAAUUAAAGUGCGAAAAAUAAGACUACGCUAUUACAUGGCUUCGGGAUGGGGGGUACAUAAUUUAAAAGGGGAU
rnacentral:lncRNA from 1 species